AUCAUGGCAGCAAGGGUAGCUAUGGCAAAGACUGGCCAGAACAGACUAUCUGCUUUUUCACAAGAUUCGGGAAUUGAAAGUGCUAAAAUGAGCUCUUAAUGUGAAACAUAUUUACAUACUAUGACUUGAAAAAUGUCAGGGAUUAAACGAUACCAGCAUAUAAUAUGAAGGAAAAUAUCACCUGACACAGAAUCAUAGAAAAUUCUACUUGAAGAUUGUGUUUCAUUAAAUAUAAAGCCUGGCCCAUAUAAAAUACUACCCAAGGCAAUCUGUGGAAGCAGUGAAGAAUAACUGAGGCAUCCAUGGGGCAAUUCUUCAAGAAAGAUAUAAAAUGAAGCUCUGGCUAAAGAA
rnacentral:misc_RNA from 1 species